rnacentral:rRNA from 1 species
GACGAACGCUGGCGGCGUGCCUAAUACAUGCAAGUAGAACGCACAGUUUAUACCGUAGCUUGCUACACCAUAAACUGUGAGUUGCGAACGGGUGAGUAACGCGUAGGUAACCUGCCUGGUAGCGGGGGAUAACUAUUGGAAACGAUAGCUAAUACCGCAUAAUAUUGAUUAUUGCAUGAUAAUUGAUUGAAAGAUGCUAUUGCAUCACUACCAGAUGGACCUGCGUUGUAUUAGCUAGUAGGUGAGGUAACGGCUCACCUAGGCGACGAUACAUAGCCGACCUGAGAGGGUGAUCGGCCACCCUGGGACUGAGACACGGCCCCGACUCCUACGGGAGGCAGCAGUAGGGAAUCUUCGGCAAUGGGCGAAAGUCUGACCGAGCAACGCCGCGUGAGUGAAGAAGGUUUUCGGAUCGUAAAGCUCUGUUGUAAGAGAAGAACGGGUGUGAGAGUGGAAAGUUCACACUGUGACGGUAUCUUACCAGAAAGGGACGGCUAACUACGUG